UUAUUUAUUCUUUUAUUAUAA
rnacentral:tRNA from 1 species